rnacentral:rRNA from 1 species
UACGAAGGGGGCUAGCGUUGUUCGGAAUUACUGGGCGUAAAGCGCACGUAGGCGGAUACUUAAGUUAGGGGUGAAAUCCCAGAGCUCAACUCUGGAACUGCCUCUAAUACUGGGUAUCUCGAGUCCGGAAGAGGUGAGUGGAAUUCCGAGUGUAGAGGUGAAAUUCGUAGAUAUUCGGAGGAACACCAGUGGCGAAGGCGGCUCACUGGUCCGGUACUGACGCUGAGGUGCGAAAGCGUGGGGAGCGAACAGG